GUUAAAGCGUGGAGCUUAACUCCAUUUCAGCAAUGGAAACUGUAAGACUAGAGUGUGGUAGGGGCAGAGGGAAUUCCCGGUGUAGCGGUGAAAUGCGUAGAUAUCGGGAAGAACACCAGUGGCGAAGGCGCUCUGCUGGGCCAUAACUGACGCUCAUGGACGAAAGCCAGGGGAGCGAAAGGGAUUAGAUACCCCUGUAGUCCUGGCCGUAAACGAUGAACACUAGGUGUCGGGGGAAUCGACCCCCUCGGUGUCGUAGCCAACGCGUUAAGUGUUCCGCCUGGGGAGUACGCACGCAAGUGUGAAACUCAAAGGAAUUGACGGGGGCCCGCACAAGCGGUGGAGUAUGUGGUUUAAUUCGAUGCAACGCGAAGAACCUUACCAGGGUUUGACAUCCUGCGAAUCUCUUGGAAACGAGAGAGUGCCUUCGGGAACGCAGUGACAGGUGGUGCAUGGCUGUCGUCAGCUCGUGUCGUGAGAUGUUGGGUUAAGUCCCGCAACGAGCGCAACCCACGUCGUUAGUUGCCAGCAUUUAGUUGGGCACUCUAGCGAGACCGCCGGUGAUAAACCGGAGGAAGGUGUGGAUGACGUCAAGUCAUCAUGCCCCUUACAUCCUGGGCUACACACGUACUACAAUGCUACGGACAAAGGGCAGCAAACUCGCGAGAGCUAGCAAAUCCCAUAAACCGUGGCUCAGUUCAGAUCGUAGGCUGCAACUCGCCUACGUGAAGGAGGAAUCGCUAGUAAUCGCAGGUCAGCGUACUGCGGUGAAUACGUUCCCGGGCCUUGUACACACCGCCCGUCACACCAUGGAAGUUGGCCACGCCCGAAGCCGUUACUCCAACCCUUGUGGAGGAGGAUGUCGAAGGUGGGGCUGAUGCCUGGGGUG
rnacentral:rRNA from 1 species